rnacentral:ribozyme from 1 species
AAAGCAAGAAAGAGAAAGAUGAAUAAUUGCAGAUAUUUUGUUUUUGUUUAAAAACUCACUUCUUCUUCAUUCUUUUCCUCUAUUGCUGUUGCUUUUA